GCCUAUGGCCAAAUCACCUUUUAUUAGCCCAAUCUCAUGGAUAUUGGAAGCUAAGUAAGGUUGAGCCUGGAUAGUGCAUGGAUGGGUGACCACGUAUAAAACAGGUGUUAUAGGCU
rnacentral:rRNA from 1 species